CCUCCUUCUCUUCUUCUUCGCUGCGAUUGUCUCUGCUUCCGUGUUCUUUAGGUUUUAGCUGCAGUUUGAUUUUGUGAUAUAGUGUGCGAAUCAGAAAGGCGAUGAAGAGGGGAAAAUUAGGUAUAAUUCGAGGCCGUCGAUUUUAGAGGAAAUAACAGGGGUAGGAAAUUAUUAGGUUUGGAUUUGGGAAGAGCUGAGACUGUGUCCGAAUUGGGUUAAUUGAAGAUGGGGGUUUGAGAGUUCUUGGAUGAUGAUAAGAGUUGGGUUGAGCUCGAUUUGAUUUAUAGAUGAAGAAAUCAAUGGGGUUUUAUAGAUGAAGGAUUUAUAUAGGUCUGCCAAGGGUAUUCAAAAUUAGGUACGAUUUUGAUUUCAAUUGAGGGUUCAAAGUUGAAUCAGAAGGAUGUGAUGCUUUUUAUGGUUGUUAUAAUCGGAUCGAUGCAGAAAAACGAUUAGGUAUAAAAUUUAUUAGUUUUUUUUUUGGGUUUGGAAAUUGAUUGAUUAAUGGCAAGGUUAUCUUCUUCUUCAUCUAAGCUAGCAAAAUCUUCCAGUUUCUCACAAGAAAAGGGAAAUCCAAUGCAAAUCGUCCUUUAAUCGAUCUCUCUUUGAAUUCCCGAGCUUACAAAUCGUCCUUCACUAGAUCCCUCUUUGAAUUCCCGAGCUUACUGUUCCAUUGAUAUGUUAAUCAAUUUUCGACCCUUCGAACAUCUAAUCGAGAGUCGUUCAUUACUGUUCCAUGUUAAAACCCUAUAAUUGUUAUCUCUGAAAGGGUUUCUUAGGUCUGAAUUCGAUCUAAACUGGUACUAUAACAGAGAUGAAUGACUCUGAUUUUGGUCAAUGUCACGCUUUUGAAAUUUGAUUGAUUUUUAAGAGCAGAUAAUUGAGAUUUUAAUUUUUUUUAAUUGGUUUAGAUUCAGAGCUAUUCAAACUCAAUCCUAUUCAUGGAGACUUUAGUGAAGAUUAUGCUACCAGUGAAAAUGGUCCAGUCUGUCUCAAUUCCAAACGAAAUUUCACGUCCUCAACUGGUAUGUGGUUUGCUAAAAUUUUCUUUUAAAUUUUCUCCACCGGAGGGGCCGUAGGUCCCGGCUUUCCGGCAACUAUAACACAAUAUAAUAUGACACCACCAACUAAAUAUUUGGACAUUAUAUCUGUUUUUAAAUUUUCUUCACCGCCGGGGCCGUAGGUCUCGGCUUUCCGGCUAUUAUGAUCCAACUAAUUAAACACUCUACUAUGUGCCGACUAACUAACACGCCAUAAUAUGACACGACCAACUAAAUAUUUGGACAUUAUAUCUGCUUUAAAUUAUCUCGACCGCCAGAGCCGUAGGUCAUAGCUUUCCGUCUACUGUGAUCCAACUAAUUAAACACUCUACUGUGAGCCGACUAACUAACACACUAUAAUAUGAUACGACCAACUAAAUAUUUGGGCACUAUAUCUGCUUUAAAUUUUCUCCACCAUCGGGGCCGUAGGUCCUAGCUUUUCGGCUACUAUGAUCCAACUAAUUAAACACUCUACUAUGAGCCGGCUAACACAUUAUAAUAUGACACGACUAGCUAAAUAUUUGUGACUAUAUCUACUUUUAAAUUUUCUCGAUCGCCGGAGAUGUAGGUCCCGGCUUUCCGGCUACUAUGAUCCAACUAAUUAAACACUCUACUGUGAGGCGACUAACUAACACAAUAUAAUAUGACACGACCAACUAAGUAUUUAGGAACUAUAUCUUUUUUAAAAUUUUCUCCACCGUCGAGGCCGUAGGUCCCGACUUUCCAACUGCUAUGAUCCAACUAAUUAAACACUCUACUGUGAGCCGACCAACUAAUACAAUAUAAUGUGACACGACCUACUAAAUAUUUGGGCACUAUAUCUGCUUUUAGAUUUUUUCUCGACCGUUACGGCCCCGGCUUUCUGGCUACUGUGAUCCAACUAAUUCAACACUCUACUGUGAGCCGACUAACUAACACACUAUAAUAUGAUACGACCAACUAAAUAUGUAAGUACUAUAUUUGCUUUAAAUUUUUUCCACGGCCCCGUCUUUCCGGCUACUAUGAUCCAACUAAUUAAACACUCUACUGUGAGCCGACUAAUUAACACACUAUAAUAUGAUACGACCAACUAAAUAUUUGGGCACUAUAUCUACUUUUACAUUUUCUCGACCGCCGGGCCGUAGGUCCCGGCUUUCCGUCUACUGCGAUCCAACUAAUUAAACACUCUAUUGUGAGCCGACUAACUAACGCUUUAAAAUAUGAUACAACCAACUAAAUAUUUGGGCACUAUAUCUGCUUUUAAAUUUUCUCCACCGCCGGGGCUACUAUGAUCUAACUAAUUAAACACUCUACUGUGAGCCGACUAACUAAUACACUGACCAACUAAAUAUUGAGAACGUUCUGCUAUGACCACAGAAUAAAAUUGCAUGGGAAGAUACUAUUCUACCGACCAAACAAAUGAAAAAUAAACAAAACUGUAAAAAGGUUGAGCCCAAGCUGAACAUGGAAAAUCGAAAAGAGGUUGAGCGGCCGGCGUGAUAGCUAUAGUAUAUUAUAAAAAGAAGUUCCGUCUUCUAUCCGGAUAUAUUCGACCAUCAAUUUCGUCAUCCUAAGGCCCGGAUCAAGAGUUGGGGGAGAGAUAUUUUCGUGAUCCUUGGUUCCGGAUAUUAUUAGGGUCCCGUUAAUAAUGACUUGGUCGUGACUAUUUCCGGAAACAGUGAUGUGUCCUAAUUCUGGUUCCAAAAACUCCUGUAUAAAACUAUGCCUGUUCUUCAGUAUUUCGUCCAUAUCAAAAGGCCGUUCAAACCAACAGGCUUCAAAGAGGAUAUUGAUUUCAAAUUUGGUUUCCUUAAUCCUUCCCAAUCGUGGGUGUCCAUAACUCCUGACUGUUUGAUAUUAAUAGAGUAUCAGUUAUGUGCGUUUUUGAUUUCAAGAUUGCAAGCUCAAUUGCGACGGAAGAAAGUCUACAACAUCAAUCUCCUACAAACGGAAGAAGGUCAAUUUUUUCAAGUUCUUAAAUUCUACUCUUCUCCCUGUACGUUUUUGUACGUCAUCUAUCAAUCUCCUACAACUUCAGAAAAUAUGAGUGACGUCAUCGGUUUCCUCUUAGAAAUCUGUUUCUUAAUAUACGUAUGAAACAGCUAACAUGAUUCCAAAAUUUAUACACAUACCAAAGUUAGUUCCCGGUUUAAAACACAUACCAAAGUUAAUUUCCUAAUCCGAGUAAAAUCUGGAAACUUUGUGGACGUCUAUAUAUAAGAACCCUCAGCCAUGUUUAACACAAACAUUGCUUUGGGUUUUUACUACCGGAUAAAGUUUCUUCGGUCUUUUGUAAUUUUAUUGAUUUGCUAUUACAAAUAGUUAGGGUUUGUUCAAUUUUAUUGAUUACUUCACACCAAUUACCGGAAAUCAGGCAUGUAUGGGUUCUUCUCUAUUUCGUACAGGGUUUGUUCAAUUUUAUAAAUUACUUCACACCAAUUACCAUGUAAUCAGGCAUGUCUCUGUCAAGGUUCCAAUGGGUUCUUCUCUAUUUCAUACAUGGUUCAGAUGUAAUGACCUCUCUCUACAACAAGCUCCCAAUGCAGCCAAGAUUGACAUCGAAUAGCUCAAAACAAUGUUAUUGUGUAUGGGUUUUUACAUUGUUUAGCCCUUUCUGAAACUUGGAUUUAUAUAAGCCACCAGAUAGCUCAAAACAAUGCUAUCGACAUGUCGGGAGGGGAGAAAUAAUGCUCUAGAUUAGAAGUGAGUUUACAUAAUUCACGAUUAGCAAACCACGAUCCAAAUGAACAUGCCUAAAAAUUAGUUUAUUUCAGAAGUUGACGAGGUUUCCAUCCGUCCAUCCGCUGGUUAUAAGAGGUAUCUAUCUAUCCGUUCAUUCCACACAUUUCCUUGGGUUUCCUCAUAUAACUGUUUCCGUUCCUAAUCACUAAGAAGUCAAUAUGGGCAGCAACGAGCACUGAAUAUGGAUGCAGCAUAAGGUAAAUGGUUGAUUACAACUGGUAUAGGGGUGAUAGAUGGUACUGUUCAAAUAUGGAAUUUUCUUUGGAUGCCAUGGCUGAUUUGAGUGUGAAAGAAAGACGUACAGAAACAAAAGUCAUAAACUGCAUAGAAGAUGGAGCUUGGAACAUUCCAGGGAAUACUCUAAGCAACCUUUCGUCGGAUGUGAAUGAUCAAAUUCUAAAAAGAACUUGGGGAUAUCCACUUGGAGGGUAGGACCGUAGGAGAGUAUGGGAGUGCAGCGUUAAUGGAAAGAUUAUGUUGAAUGAUGUGUAUGAAUUCAGCAGUAAGAGUAUUUAUAAAAACAAAUUCUGAUUUCUGGAAGGUAAGGGUGCUAUCUAAGAGAAAGUACGCACCGGAAGUUGGCGACGAAAAAUAAUGUUGGAAAGCCCAUUGCCUCGGUAUGCUUAACGCCUACACGCUUUCAAUGCUGUGAGACAACUGGUCGCCUAAAUUAUUAGUGUGUGUGCAUUUCAAAUAUUAAUAAUUUUAAACCCUUGGCAGGUGAAUUAUGCGGUAAUUAAGUUUAAUCAUAUAAAAAAAACUUACUUAGUUACUAAGAGUCACGUUCCUGGUAACCAGUAUCAUCCAACCAAUUCCCUUUUAAGUGUACACUAUAUUCCAAAAGCCCAUACCAUGAGGACAUGCCAGAUGCAUCAGGCAUAGAUAGCGACACAAGUCACAAAGUGGUCAAGAAUAAGUAUAAGCGGUUGGGUUUUUGCGUAUCGGUUAAUCGUUAGUGGUACCAACUACUAUGUAUUAAGCAUCCUGAGUCUAGACCGUUUACUUAUAACUUGAGAAUUGCCUAAGAAUAAUUUGUCACCAGGUGAAUUUUUAUUUCCAAAUAUGUCAGAUAAAAAAUAAUUGUCUCAAUGGAUUACUUUUUUUUUUAAACAAAACUAGUCAUAAAACCCCAAGGUGA